rnacentral:rRNA from 1 species
GGGCCUACGGGACGCAGCAGUGGGGAAUAUUGGGCAAUGGGCGCAAGCCUGACCCAGCAAUGCCGCGUGAAGGAAGAAGGCCUUCGGGUUGUAAACUUCUUUUAUCAGGGACGAAGGAUGUGACGGUACCUGAUGAAUAAGCUCCGGCUAACUACGUGCCAGCAGCCGCGGUAAUACGUAGGGAGCAAGCGUUAUCCGGAUUUACUGGGUGUAAAGGGCGCGUAGGCGGGAUGGCAAGUAAGAAGUGAAAUACAAGGGCUCAACCCUUGAACUGCAUUUGAAACUGUCGUUCUUGAGCACUGGAG